UAUAUUUUAGUGUAAGAUGCAUGAUAGUUUUUGAUACUAUAGGUUAUAGUUUGAUUCUAUAAAAUAUAA
rnacentral:tRNA from 1 species